AACGUUUAAAUGCAAGGGCAAAAAUUCUGACGAUUCGAUAUUUUCAAAUUUUGAAAAGUUGGACCGUUGAGAGCUGUGUUCGACUCUGUAAAUGGAUUCCUCUUCGUUCGAUUUUCUAAGGAACCAUAAAAUGUUGUAGACCCUAACCUUUCACAUGGCGAUGGCUGAGGAAAUAGGAAUCGGACUCCACCACCGGAGCUGGUUUGGUUGGAAGCUGAUCUCACCUAUGCCCCUUUCUUAUAAAGAUGAGGCUAAUCAAAGAACCAAAAAGAGAGAGCCGACCCUAAUCGCCACUCAGAGACCGAAGGGAAACCAAACCCUCGAAACUUUCCGUACAGUGUGAAGCAGAGCAAUCCUGUGUCAAUGGCAGCGAAAGAUCAAAGGGAACCCACAUCUUUGAAUAUUCAUGAAUUCUACGAUGAAAUGGAACCGAUGUCCCCUUCUCUCGGAAUGCCCUCUUUCAGCUACUGUACAUCUGAUCUUAUAGAACCUAACUAAUAUUCAGGAUUCAUUGGUGAAGACUAAGGAUGACUGCAUGCAUGCAAGCGCUGAUCAUAUGGUAAGCAAAUCUCCUUCCUAAUUGAACUUUACCGCAUGGAUGUAAAUCAUGAUAGCAGAGUUUGCAGUUCUUGUAUUCUCUCUGCUUCAAAUGUUAUUCGGUUUUUGGCUCCUUUUCUUUUUUAUUGAUAUGCUGAGAUGUUUAGUAGGUUCACAUUGUCUGACCUUUGAGUGAGAUGCUUCAAUACCCAGAUGUAUAAUUUUUGGGACAGAUCUUUUAAACUUACUAUUACUUUCAUUUCAGUGGGGUCAAAAUCCCUUGUUGCUGUAUAAUCAAGUCAUGUUAAAAAAUUCAGCUUCUGAGUAUCUAUUUGUUCUCGAAACUUGUUACAAAGCGCAUUUUGACAACCAUGUCCUAAUGAGAUUGCAAACGUCUAUGAAUGCUUCAAGGCUGCAUACAAAGUAGAAAAGAUGGUUCAGGGCUGUGUAAAUAAGAAAGUUUGUACUGAUAACUCUGUUUGAUAAAAAAAAAAAAAAAAAAGGUAUGAAAGUACGAAAUUACGCUCGGGGAUCGCCCAAGGUUCUCUUCCCUAUUGUGUGGGUUGUGGUGUGCUGUGUGUGUCUCUUUUCUUGUCUCUCAUUUGCUUUCUUUCCCAUUCCAUUUUCUUCUCCCUCCAAUUUCACUCUGUUUGUAUCUCUGCAUUUUGUUUCUGCUUUUCCCUCUCCUCUUUCUCUGCAUCUUUUCUUGCUUGACUUUAUUUCUCUGUUUGGUUUUUUCCUUCCUUUCUCUUUUUUGUUAUCUCUUUACUUGUUCUCAGUGCUUUUUCUUUAUACUUUUUUUUUUAUUUUUUUAUUUUCCCUAGUUUUUUUCUCUCUAUUUUCUUUGUCAAGAACCCCCUACUUUCUUUAUAGUUUUCAAUUCUGUUUCUUUUUUACUUUCUCUUGCUGCAUUUUUUUCGCCCUCACUUUUUGUUUAUUUUUCUCUUAUUAAUUUCUCUAUGCACUUUAUUGCUAGUUUGCUUUCAAAAAUUAUUUAUUCCAUAUGCUAUCGAAAUUUAUUUUUGAUGUUCUUAAAAAUUAAAUAUAGAAAAGGAACUACUAUUGUAAUACAUACAAAAUAAAAAUAAAAACAUUAAAGGAACUAACUAGUAAACAAAUAGGAAAUUAUGAAGACAAGUUAAGAAAACUAUGCAUGUAAUAAAAAUUUAUAACGAAUUUAAAAAAGAAGGAACUAGUAACCAACAUUAAGUAAUUUUUCAAAAAUUAAUGAAUAAACAAGUUAAGAAAAAGUAAAGAAGAGUGAAGAAACUAGCAAGCCUGUAAGCUAGAUGUUAAGAAAGUUAAGAAAAGAAACUGAUAGCUAAAGUAAGAAAUCAAUAAAAUUUGAUAUUUUUAACUAGUAAUUAAAUAUAUGUUUUUAUUAUUUCUUUAAAAAACUUAUAUAUUUAUUUUAUUUUUGAAGGAAAAAUACUUAUAUAUUUAAAAACAUAUUCUAAUUUUAAUAUGACUAAAACUUCUGGUAAAUUCUUUUAUUACACGUAAUAAGUAUUAAGAAAAUAACAUUAGAAAUACUUAAACCUAGUAGAAAUAUUUUAUUCAUGUUAACUCUUAAACUUAAAUAUGAAUAGGAACUGAAAAUUUACCUUUAAAAAACAAUUAUUGGAUAAAUGACUUGCUAGAUUACACUUAAUAAUUGUCAAAAAUAGAGAUGUAAUAGAAUGAAAUAAUAAUAAUAAGAAUAAUAAUGAUAAUCAUAAUAAUAAUAAUACAUGAGAAUACUUAGUGAUAAUUAAUUGAUGUAAUUAAGGACAUAAAGUAGUAUUUCAUAAGAAAGCAUUAGCCAAAUGGAGAAAGCAACUAGAAUAAACAGGCAAAGUAAUUAGAAAAAGAACAUAGUGGAAAAAAUGUAGAGGAAAAGAGUGGAGAUAGAAAGUUUAAAAGAUAAUAAGAGAUUAGAGGUCUAUGAAGGAAGUGGUAGAAGUAUAGCGAAGAUUUAGAGAAGAAAAGGGUGUAAGGUAUAAGAUAAAGUGGAGAGAAAUUUAAAUAAGAUAGAAAUUAAAGUAGUUGAAGUAUAGCGAAGGUUUAGAGAAGAAAAGGGUGGAAGGUAUAAGAUAAAAGGUAUAAGAUAAAGUGGAGAGAAAUCUAAAUAAGAUAGAAAUUAAAGGAGAGAGUGGACAUAAAAUGUAGAUGGAGAAAAUGGUGCAAGGGAGAAAGGAAGGUAGAGUAGAUAAAAGUAGAUAUAGAAUGCAGAAAAGUAAAGUGGAGAAAAAUAGAGAGAACAAUGGGUAGAGAAAGUAAGAAGAUAGAUGAAGAUAGAAGAGAGAUAAAUUAGAAACCUAAAGCAAGGGAGGGGAAUUUUGUUCCUUUUUUUUUUUUAAAUUAAAAAUUAGAAGGCUAAAAAUUUACAUUCAUUGUAAAUUCAAUUGCGAUAAAUAUUGUCUUUUAUUAUUCGUAAGGUGUGGUUCUCGAUCUUUGUUAGAGAUUUAAUUAUUUUCCAUGUGAUAACGGUUUUGUGGCCUCUUUUCCUUUUAUCAAUUUUGGUUGUUGCGCAUGUUCUUCAUGUUUCUAACUCAAGAAUUUUCAAUUAUGAUCUUUGAAGCUAUAUAGAAAAUCUUAGAACUUGUGUUAAACUGAUAUAUUGCAUAUUAAGCUAAAAAUGUAUUCUUGCAUUGCUUGUGGCAGAAGAUAAUGUAGUUUAAUUAUAGUUGUAAGCUUGUGGUUUCCUUUACAAUGUGUAAGAAAGUUCUUCGGCACCUUGACAACAAAAAUUUCACCUCUGAGUUUUAUAUUAAAACAUUUCCAAUUUCAAGCGCUUGAAGUGUGUAUUGAAUGAAAAAGCAUAUCAGCAAGUAAAUAAAAUCAUCAAAAUCGACCACAAUUUCUCAAAUUCAUCCAACUUCAGGGCCAGGAGAGUACAUGUUCAUUUGAACGCAAAGGCUCCCUCAAUUAUGACAGAAGCAAAAGUGUCAGACUUGGAACCAAAUUUUUCUUUUUUCCAUGUCCAUUUGAUUGGAACUGUGGGACCAAGAGUAAGUCACAUUAUAUGGGACCAAGAAUUAUAAAAAUAUAUCCGCAUAUUUGUACCGACUGCUACAUUAAUUUUCAUUUUGUGAAUUGUGAAAGAGAGCAAAAAUAAAUAAAUAAAAGGAAAAGAGAGCAUAAGUGAAUGAACAUUGUUCGU